UACGGAGGGUGCAAGCGUUGCUCGGAAUUAUUGGGCGUAAAGGGUAGGUAGGUGGUCUCAUUUGUCUGAGGUGAAAGCCUUGAGCUUAACUCAAGAAGUGCCUUAGAAACGGUGAGACUAGAGUCCUGGAGAGGGUCGUGGAAUUCCCGGUGUAGCGGUGAAAUGCGUAGAGAUCGGGAGGAACACCAGAGGCGAAGGCGGCGACCUGGACAGGCACUGACACUCAACUACGAAAGCGUGGGGAGCAAACAGG
rnacentral:rRNA from 1 species